CCUACGGGUGGCAGCAGUGGGGAAUAUUGGACAAUGGGGGGAACCCUGAUCCAGCGACGCCGCGUGAGUGAAGAAGUAUUUCGGUAUGUAAAGCUCUAUCAGCAGGGAAGAAAAUGACGGUAUCUGACUAAGAAGCACCGGCUAACUACGUGCCAGCAGCCGCGGUAAUACGGAGGGGGCAAGCGUUAUCCGGAUUUACUGGGUGUAAAGGGUGCGUAGACGGGGCAGUAAGUCUGAUGUGAAAGGUUGGGGCGCAACUACGGGACUGCAUUGGAAACUGUUGAACUGGAGUACAGGAGAGGUAAGCGGAAUUCCUAGUGUAGCGGUGAAAUGCGUAGAUAUUAGGAGGAACACCAGUGGCGAAGGCGGCUUACUGGAAUGUAACUGACGUUGAUGCUCGAAAGCGUGGGGAGCAAACAGGAUUAGAUACCCUGGUAGUC
rnacentral:rRNA from 1 species